CUUACAGCGACAACAAUGUUUGGAUGGAAACUCAGCUAACUUCUCUUAUCAUAGAAGCUGCCUUUGUCAUUGUCAGCUGCGCAGGAAUUAGCCAAAGCAGUGGCCAUAAUUAGCGGCAGAUGUUAAAAGAAAAACACUUCUUUUACAAAGUACAGCGAUUACUGUUUAUGGCUUGAAUUUUGCUAGCCUUUUUUCUGUGUAUUACUUUAUUAUCUCUGCAGUGGAGGCAUGUUAUGGUGGCAAUUACUACUCCUAAGCGAACAGUUCUCAUAAGAACUUUAAGCACCCCCCCUCCACACCAAGUGAAAGACCACCAUGGCCAGAGCUGAUGUUUUCCAAACUCUCUGCUCUCUGUAUGGAUCUAUGUGGGCAUGGCAACCAGGCAGAGCAGCAAUAAAGGUUUGUAUGUUCCGGUUAUGAUGGGCGGCCAUGGGAAACCAGCGUCACAGAGGGACCUGGCAAGGUAUUCAGGGGCCAGUGGAGCGCUUCCACUGCCAGGCCUGUUGUGAUAAUUAUAUCUCCAGUGGGGACAAUCUGGAAAGGUUAUUUCCAUCCGCUGAGGCUUGUGGGCGUGUUUCCUCUUGGCCCUCAUGGGAUAAAAGGAUAGG